CCGCAGGCUAAGAGGCCUCUGGGGAGAGCAGCAAGAACUGUGGCCGGCCAGGAGCUGCCGGUCUUCAAGCAGCCUCGGGCUGCCUUCCCAGGCCUGAACCUGCAGGUGACAGAGCAGCUGCUCGACAUGACGCAGCCCAAGCUGGGCGCCAUCCAAGCCCCCGCCCCCACCUCCAGCCUGACCCCAGAGCCCACGCCUCCACUUCGCGCUGUGUGACCACAGGUUCUCACAGCCCUGCAAGGCGUGGCUCUACCACCAUCAGUGUGCUGAUGAGGAAACUGGGCUCAGGUGCAAGAGACUUGCUGCAGGGCAUAGCGCAGCGAGGGGCCCAGCAACAGUAGGUGCUUAAUAAGUGUGCAUCCCUCCCUCUUGCCACUCCCUGCCCUUGUGCCUGGGAUAGGGGCUGGCAUGCAGUUGGUGCUUAACCAGCGGCUGUUUGUGAGAGCCUGGCACGCCCGUAGAGCUCAGUGCACGUCUGCCCAGGGACCUGCCGGGGAUGGAGGGGCGAGUGCACGGGUUGCCAGGCGGCCGUGCUGGGAAGCGGGCGGCCCCGGCCCGCCCGAUGUUGUUCUUUCUCCCCAGCUCCACGGGGCCCUCAAUGGGCGCAGCCGUGUGUUUUCCUUGGGCCUCCCUCUGAGGCCCCGGAAGGCCCGUUCCCAGAGCCAGCCAUGACCCCAGGUACUCAUUUACCCGGAUCGAAAGGGCCCUGCCAGCCGGGCCUGAUUAAAGAUGGGGAAUCAUUAGCUGCUGCUCUGCGGCGGCAGAAGGGCCAUUUGUCAGCUGUCGGGGCUCCGCUGGCCCCACCUGGGCAGCCCAGCUCUGCCCUCUGGGCCAGAACUCAUAGUCAAGGGGCACCUGCUGUCAGCUCUGGUCCACAGAAGUCCCGGUAGGUGAGUGAAACAUGGAUGAAUGGGCAAGUGAACGACAAAGAAGGCGGGAGUCAUAUCCCACAGACACGACCACUGCCCCAAGCACCUUCCCCUGGCCCAGCACAUGAGGGCCUGGAUCUCGGAGGGGACCUCUGGGGCUCACAGUCCAGUGAGGGAGGAGGAGGAGAAGGACCUGCAUCAUCAGGUGCUGCAGGAGCCCACGAGAACCUAACCCUGCCGGGUGAUGGUGCCUGGGCUGGGGCCUUCCUGGAGGAGAUGGUGCCCACACUGGGUAUUGAUGGAUGAGUAGGAGCUCGUUAGACAAAGAGGGGAGGGUGUUCCAGGAGAGGUUCAACAUGGGCAAAGGUCUGGAGACCACCAGGCCUGAAGGGAGAGACAAGGCCACACACACGUCAAGUGGGCGCAGGGUGGGCCCUGAGGCUGGGCCUGGAGUUGGGGGGUGUCUUCCACUCUGCAUGAGUGGAGAGGACUGGAGAGGCCAGGGAGGAGGAUGGGGAAGGAGGCUGACAGAAGGUACCAGGAGCUGAUCCUCCCCAGAGGGGCCUUGAUGGCCCGAGGCCUGGCUGGGUGUCCAGACUAGGGGUUUUGCGUGCCAGGUAGCCCUCUGGUGUCCCCACUGGAGACCCCACUGUGGCCUGUUGCAUGGCUGCCUCCCCACUGCACUCUGCUGUCCUCCCCCGACCCCUUGGCUCCUGUCUCCCCAUCCACAUCCAGGCCAGGUGUCUCAGCCUGCACCCUCCUGCCCGGGGACCUUCAGACGCUGCACGGCCAGGCCAGUGACCGGCAGCUGAUGAAGCCGAUUGGGUAGCUGUUUGCAGAGUGAGGGGCCACAUCCUCGCUUGGCUGGGUCCCCUGGGCCAGAGCCUCUCCCGGGAGGUGAUCACAGGAUUCCAGAAUGUGCCAUUUCCUUCUCCUGCUCCCUGGCCAUGAGCACGACAGCAAUGGUGGCGCCAGUGGCAGCGGGAACGUUGGGGCAGAGACCGGGCCCCCCACCCCUGCCCCAGAAGACCACAGGGCAGGGCGUGGAGCAGGCACUGAGGGGGCUGAGGCAGGGGCCGCUCCCCCAGGCCGUGGUUCCUCUGCCCACCAGGGCUGUGCGGGUGGGUGGACUGGGAGCCCCUCUGGGAAAAAGGCAAUUUCGUGUUCUUUGCAGAAUAAAG